GACCCAGUGGCGAGAGGAAUCGCAGCGGCGCAGCAUGUAGGUCAUCCUUGGAAGCUUCAAAGCCGGAGAUCCUGGUUCGAAUCCAGGCUGGGUCA